ensembl:lncRNA
CACAGUCCGCCCCCCUGCUUAAAGCGGCUGUCCUUGCCGGUGGAUGGUGCAGUGGAAGACGGGUGAACUCCUCGUUGUUCCUUUUAUUACUACAUGUACAUUAUUACAUAUUACUCACUUUUUUAUUAAUUGACGGAUCAAUCAAUAAAGGUAACUAAUGACUCAUAUACAUUCAUAUUUAUGUCUGAAUUAUGUAUUCAAUCCGACGCUUUUAUCCAAAAAUGACGCUUUUAUCCAAAGCGACUUACAAUAAGUGCAUUUAAACAUAAAGCAACAUUAAUUCAUUUUUUCAUGUUGAUAAGAGCAUUAAAAUGAAAAAAAUAUAUAUGGAAAAAUUAAGGGACAUUUAGAAGAGAAACAAAUUUGCGAUUAAUUCUGAUUCAUUUUGGGUUAACUAUAAGAUAAAUAUGAUUAAUCGUGAUUAAAUAUUUGAAUCGUUUGACAGCACUAAUAUAUGUACACACACACACACACACACACACACACAAGAAAUAAUUUAUAAAUAGUAAUAGUUUAUAGUCAUUUUUAUAAAAAAAAAUGUUUUUAUUAAAACUGCAUUUUGCAGAUACUACAAGCGUAGAAUUACAAGCUAAUUGAUUUAUUCUCAUUAAAAACACCAAGUGCAGGUUGGCUGGCUGCUCGUGUCUCUCGUGUCUCUCUGACACCAGAAGAAGACGUGUGAGUCACAGGCGGUGGUGCAGGGGAGGGAAGUAGGCGGGUACGUAUAGGAAUAGUCUCAUGUGGAAUCCGGGGGGGGGACAAAAUGAGUGAGCGCUACGGUAAUGAGGCCUGUGACGUCGGUGUGAGUUCAUCAGCUCAGCUCUAGUUGCACAGUGGAAAUGUUAAGUGAUAGUAGGAGAAGUACCAAGUGGUUCUACGACUCAACCCAUUAACCCGUUGGAUUCAUCACGAUCCGACAGCCGAUAAGAAUACUUCAUUUUUGUUCCAUUGCUCGGCUGUGAUUGGUCCCUGCAUCGCUCGCCCUCUCCUGGCCUCUGAUUGGCCGCUUGCCCCGAGGUCUUUUCAGGCUCAAGACGUACAAGUCAAACUCCUUGUAUGUCUGAUAUGUUAUGGCAAUAAAUGUUUCCUGAUUCUAUAAUACAAAGAUAAAAACAGCUCACUUUCAUAAAACCUGCCAGAGAUUUCAUGUAAUACAUUAAUAUAUUUUAGGACAAUUUUAUGAAAUAUAAAAAUACUCUUUUCAUUUUUAAUUCAUAUGAACACCAUCUUGUACACGUGAAUACAAGAUGUUUUUAUAGAAUAAUGAUGAAUAAUGGCGGACACCUUCUAUCCUUUGCUUGGUUCAUCAGAGACGAGGAGUCGGGGUGCGUUCCAACAAGAUGCCGGCCCGAGUUAAAGGGCACUUGUCUUAGGUUUCAGGAGAUGCUAAAUUUAACGUGGAGUCUCCUCACUGAGCAGCGAGACCUUUCCCAACGCAACAGGUCUCACUUCCACAAGUCAACACACACAUUUACGAGAUAAACGGAGGAAGGAAGAUCAAUUCCUUCAGAACAAAAUAAAGAAUAAAUCCAUGAGCUGCAAUAAAACAAACGGUUGUGAAACUCAAACAACGGCAUUUCGCUAUAAAAAUAAUAUCGCUCCAAUUAUUUUAACCACAGACAAAGAUGUUUCCAUAUUUUGUGUGAUUAAAGGAUUUUAUGAUCACACCUUUUCAGGUGACUUGCUUGAAUCCACAGAGAAAAACUCAGCGAAGACAGUGGUUCAGGUUGUCGUAACCACAGAAACGUCACACAUGAAUCCACGAUGACUUAAUGUCUCAAGUCUCUGGACUUUGUAGAAUACGCCGCGCUGUUCUUCGUAGGUAACGACGCCGACGUUGAAAUAAGUCAACUACGCGUUCUUUUAGAUUUUAGCCAAUUUAGUGUUAAUUAAUAUAAAAGAUCAAUCAUCUGCAGACUGAGGGACGACUUUUCUAUUGAGUCCACACACACACAGACACACGCACACACACACACACACACACACACACACACACAGACACACGCACACACACACACACAUGCAGACACACACGCACACACACA